CGUGACGUAGGAUAGGGGAUCACGUGAUAAGGACGGUUAUUCUGCCUUGCUUUGGUCGGGGUAUUCGGGAACCGUUCGGUCGUUAUUUUCGUGUUUUUUUUCUGUGUUUGGAGCCCGAUUAGUUCACGCGUGGAUCGGCUUCGGCAGCCGUCGUGCUCAGGAAGCAAUGGUGAAGUACUGUUCGGUGCCGCAAUGCUGCAGUUACGCGACCGACCCGAACGUCAGCUUUCACAUCUACCCCAAGGAGAAGCAGCUGCGCACGGAGUGGCUUGUGAAGUUGAGAAUGGGCAAAUUAAACUCCAAGAGCUCGACAGUGUGCAGCAAGCACUUUAGAGAUGAAGACUUCGUGUAUGCGGUUGGAGCGAAGAUGUUUGGCUGAAAAAAAAGGGCACUCGCCCCAGGAACCGCGCCGUCAAAGAAUCUGCCUUUACGGCCACUGGACAAGCCCCCGAAGCUGCGACAGCCCCUGAAGCCGCGGGCAGGUGUGGACACAUGCAAGCCUCGCCCCAAGGAUGACCUGCCAGCAGCAGUUACAUUGGCAGGGCUGAACUCCGAAGAAGCCAGCACCAGUGAGGGUUUGAUUGAGCAGGAACUACCCAACCAGGAUGCCGAUGCUGCAGAUCCCAUUGGUCUUCAGGCUGAACUUCACACCUUGAAGAAAGAUGUCGGAAGUCAAGCG
rnacentral:lncRNA from 1 species